rnacentral:rRNA from 1 species
UACGAAGGGGGCUAGCGUUGUUCGGAAUUACUGGGCGUAAAGCGCGCGCAGGCGGCUAUCCAAGUCAGUGGUGAAAGCCCGGAGCUCAACUCCGGAACUGCCAUUGAAACUGUUUAGCUUGAGGACGAGAGAGGUGAGUGGAAUUCCCAGUGUAGAGGUGAAAUUCGUAGAUAUUGGGAAGAACACCGAUGGCGAAGGCAGCCAUCUGGACCGACACUGACGCUGAGGCGCGAAAGCGUGGGGAGCAAACAGG